GAGGAAGGUGGGGAUGACGUCAAAUCAUCAUGCCCCUUAUGCUUAGGGCUACACACGUGCUACAAGGGGUAGUACAGAGGGUUGCCAAGCCGUAAGGCGGAGCUAAUCCCUUAAAGCUACUCUCAGUGCGGAUUGUAGGCUGAAACUCGCCUACAUGAAGCUGGAGUUACUAGUAAUCGCAGAUCAGAAUGCUGCGGUGAAUGCGUUCCCGGGUCUUGUACACAC
rnacentral:rRNA from 1 species